GACGUAACUCCCAUGAAACAACAAACCCAAGGACAGCUUAAGGAGUUGAAAUGUACACAGUACCUGCUAUAUGGGAGACAGUUACUCCAUCUCAUAUACUAUAGUUCCUGAAGAGGACGAAAGAAAAUAUAGGUAAGUGAUGCGGACUACUAUUCUUAUUCUCAGAUGGGGGACAUCAUACCUCCGCUGGCUUAACUGAUAAACUGGGGUGACCCAGGCAGAGACACUCAGCUCCACAAAUUCAAGUCUUCUCCUCUGUCACAGGUGACCUGUGUGGCAGAUUGUGAUGCGGGGAGGUGUUGGAGGGGCGGGGGAGGGGACAGAAUCAAGACAUCUGGUGCCACUGAAUGCCUCGAGAUUCCCUCUGUGUUAGUUACGUUGGUUAAUUUACACAUUGCUGGGGUAAAACAGCUGACAAGCACAACUGAAGAAAAGAAGGAUUUAUGUCAUCACAGUUUGAGGCAGAAACACAAGUGACAUUACAGACCCGAGACUGAGAAAUCCAGUCCUAGCUUACUCGUGUGCAAGUACAAGUGGGGGAUUCGGAAUGUAUCAAAUAACUAGCUGUCACACCUGAUUAAUACUACCCGAUCCAGGGGAAGCAGCCACUCUGUCUUCCAAAAUGUCAUUAAAAUAUCAAAAAAGGAAGAAAAAAAAAAGAGAGAAAGAGAGAGAGCUCCCGUAAUUAAAGAAACAUUAUUUUGUUCACACAGCCUGGAAAAAAAAUGUGAUUGAGGUAGCAAUUUUGAGAAACUGAUAUUCAAUCAGGCAGGCGCUUGUGUGUGUACCGGCUUAGAACGGAUGCUGCGGGUUAUGUAAAAUGCUGUUGUGUCACGUGAUGUGUUAGUACGGAAGCCAAGAAAGACAGCAACGGAGGUGAGGACAUGUGGUUAAUUCGCUAAGAAGUCACGGGAGUGAAGAUUUGCUCUCUCUCUCCAAAAUAGCUUACCAACUAAGCUACCUGGGUUACACUUCCUGUGAGCCCUGACGACACAGGGUUCACACUGACACUUGGUUUCCGAAUAAGCCUGAUGUAGUUAUCCUAUCACCAAACACAAGCUGAAUUUCCAUUCAACAAAAACAAGGAUAAUUGGUUUAGUUUUGGAAAGACACGCCAUCACUUUUCAUUAGCAAAGCAGGGAAUGAGGUGCUCGGUGGGUUGCUGAUGUGUGCUCAGAACCAAGCCAGGAGAGGGGUACACAAACUUUACUGAGUAAUCAUUGGCUGUAAAAUAAUUUACUUCCACUGAGGACUCUUUAUAUAGCUGGGUUUUGUACACACCCAUACACACACACACACACACACACACACACACUCACAUGCCCACAGUCACGCGCACACACACACAUGUGAGUUGACUCAGGCCAUUUGACCAAAAAAAAAAAAAUCCCAUUUAAUGUAUCGAGUUCACGGAAGACACUCAAUAAAUGUUGACUGAAUGGAUUUUUGUAGAAAUAC
rnacentral:lncRNA from 1 species